rnacentral:rRNA from 1 species
CAAGCUCUGGAAACGGGGUCUAAUACCGGAUGGGACUGCCGGCCGCAUGGUCUGGUGGUGGAAAGCGUUUAGUGGUGCAGGAUGAGCCCGCGGCCUAUCAGCUUGUUGGUGGGGUGAGUGCCUACCAAGGCGACGACGGGUAGCCGGCCUGAGAGGGCGACCGGCCACACUGGGACUGAGACACGGCCCAGACUCCUACGGGAGGCAGCAGUGGGGAAUAUUGCACAAUGGGCGGAAGCCUGAUGCAGCGACGCCGCGUGAGGGAUGACGGCCUUCGGGUUGUAAACCUCUUUCAGCAGGGAAGAAGCCGCAAGUGACGGUACCUGCAGAAGAAGCACCGGCUAACUACGUGCCAGCAGCCGCGGUAAUACGUAGGGUGCGAGCGUUGUCCGGAAUUAUUGGGCGUAAAGAGCUCGUAGGCGGCGUGUCACGUCGGAUGUGAAAGCCCGGGGCUUAACUCCGGGUUUGCAUUCGAUACGGGCAGGCUAGAGUUCGGUAGGGGAGAUCGGAAUUCCUGGUG